rnacentral:rRNA from 1 species
CUUUUCUUAUCUUAGUGGCGGACGGGUGAGUAACGCGUGGAUAACCUGGCCCAUACAGGGGGAUAGCAGCUGGAAACGGCUGGUAAUACCGCAUAAGCGCACGGUACGGCAUCGUACGGUGUGAAAAACUCCGGUGGUAUGGGAUGGGUCCGCGUCUGAUUAGGCAGUUGGCGGGGUAAAGGCCCACCAAACCGACGAUCAGUAGCCGGCCUGAGAGGGUGGGCGGCCACAUUGGGACUGAGACACGGCCCAAACUCCUACGGGAGGCAGCAG